GUUUCAUUGAGAGUGCAACAUUUGUUUUGCAUGCUCACCUCUAGACUUGCACUCAUCCAUGUGUAGAAAAAUGGAUAUUCAUAUGAAGCGGGAAAAGAGUAGAGUAUUUCGAGUUUUGCAGGCUGGAAGGUAGGGGAAGACAAGUUCAAUGGUGUUUGUGCCGACCCAGUUGUGUAAUAAGGUUUUCUUAAUAGACUAACCUUCUUGGAGCCACCUAACGUCAAUCAGAUAACUAUACAUCACUGCUUGUCAACUUCGUGGUAGAUAAUUCCCGCAAUUUAACCACAUCAUAAACUUAAGAUUAAGGGGAAGCAACUUUUAAGCCAUUGACAUUUACUUUUUCCCCCAAGCUAUUUCGAUGUGGAAGGUGAUGAAGGUGAUGGCUUUCCC